rnacentral:pre_miRNA from 1 species
AGCCUUUCGAAUUCGUGUUGAGACUUCGUCAGACACCAACCCAUUUGUGCUGGUCAGACUUCCAAGAUAAGUGAAGUU